UGGCAGUGGCCCUGGGGAUGCGGAGUUGCUGAGGUGCCAUGCCAGCAGUAGUCACUGAGAAACUGCCCUCUUGAGUGUCAGAGGGACGUCACUAAUGGAGAGAUGCCCACACAAGUCCCACUUGGAAUUUGUUACCGGAAAUGGCACAUUGGGAAACCUCCCUCUUGGUGUCAGGGAAUGUCCUGCACCACCAGCUGCCACACACUGCAGGAGCCUACUGAGAGCGAGCACAGGCUGGCCCAGGAUGAUGAACCCAUUCCUCUGCUAGGUUCCCGCCACACCACCAGCUGCCACACACUGCAGGAGCCUACUGAGAGUGAGCACAGGCUGGACCCAAGAGGAAGAACCCAUUCCUCUCCUAGGUUCCCACGAGUGCCUUCUGCCAACGAAGCUUAAUGGCAUGCCAACUGUCCAAGGAGAAAGGAUGAGAAGCCACAAGCAGGACAAUACAGGUUUCCUUGGAGCCAAGAGGCAAUAGAUUGAACAAAUCUACAUAGGAAGUUGUGGAAGCAGCGACGAGUGUGGUUUGAGGGUCUUCCUGCAAAGAACAGUAUCAUAGGACCAUGGAGGGAGAAGAACUGUGCCCUAGGAAUGGUACUUCACACAUCAUACCCAGAAGGCUAAACUGUUGCUAUAACAGGAGACUUGGGAAAGAAACAGUACCCAGCUCAAAUGUCUGUGAAAAGUUGAUGCUUUCUUAAAGAAGAAGUGGGACUCCCCUUGUCAGUUUGUGAGGCUAUCCAUAAUGAAACCAAGAAAGGGUUGUGUUGUGAGGUGUCUUGCUUUUAAUUGGAAAACGCUGAAAUGAGGGCCAAUGCAGGAAAGUGUAAAGAAGCCCAUUGAUUUCACUUGUAAGCACAUUGGAGGAGAACAGACAAUUGAAGGACUCCAGGUGCAAGGUCUGAAGAAUUCAAGAGCAGUCCUGGGAGCGGAAAGUCAAUGUCCUGCCACUUGAUUUAUUUAGUCACUGAAAUGUACCCAGCAAGUUGUGGUGUCGGGUACUGUCUUAGGGGUUUAAAAUCCAAAGACAUGAAGACAUCUCUUUGAGGCUUACUGGUUACAGCUCUGGAAACGUUAGGGAAGCAAUCAGUUAAAUCAGAAACUUAAUUUCUUGCAAGAAAGGAGCCAAAUAGCCCCAUGGAUUUGAUAAAUCAAUCUACUGCAAAAAGGCGUAAAGUGUAAACUGAAGUUGAUCACUAGAGAGAUUACAAAUCAUUACUGGCCCUUGGGCAUUCACAAGAAGCCAGGUACUUGAGGCCCUGGUAUGAGGUAUGAGGGGCCCGAGUUUGCAUCUAUUUUCAUAUCCUGAAGACUGUCUCUUAGAGAUUGUAUCCCUAGUGCUAAUCAAAAGGAGAUCACAUUUCUAGAUUCACAGUUAUUUCCAGCAUUGGUCAAAAUGCCAAUGAGUGCUAGUGACUAUACCUUUCAGGACAGCUAGGGAACAUACGUUGAGCAGAACAGAGAAAACAGAAAGUACGACAGAGGACAGGUAAAGAGUGGAGAGGUAAGAAAACAUGCCUUGCCAUGUCAAAUGAUCACAAGGAGCAUUAAUUAUCUGCAAGAAGUCAAGAGUAAUUUAGUCCUGGCACUACCAACAUGGUCCUUCCUACUGCCACUCCUUCUAGAAUAGGGGCUUUGCUCCCACUAAUCCUGAAAUAAGAUAAAGCUGGGUUUGAAUCCCAGCUUUUCCAACCACUAACUAUGUGUUUUAAAGCUUUAAUUUCAUCACAAGUGAGUUGGAGAACACAGUAAUCACUUCAAAUUAGUUAAAUUUUAUAACCUACAUAAAAUUUGAAGCACUGGUAGGAAAGAAUUGCCAGAUAAAUAGUGGUUGGAAAAAACAAAACAAAACUCUAUUUGCUAAAUGAUUGCAGGUAUGUGGUUCUAGCAGAUUCAAGACUAUGUUUUAUAGCAAAGUUGACAAAAUAUAUAGUGAGAUGAAGACAUAUUUCCAUUUAAGUCAUUGCUGGGCACUUCUGCCUCUGGUCUGUACAUUUACAAUAUUGCGACAUCUUCCAGUGUAAAUGAAUGUUUCUUUAGAAGAUGUGAGUACAUAAAAAACAUAAAUAGCUUCUAAAUUCAUUAAGAAUAAAUCACUUUUCUCUUAAAACAUAUCGUUCAGAUCUGAGAUAAAAUUGUUUGCCAAGUAUCUUGCCAUGUUUUGGCCAGCCGCACAAAUGUUCUCUGCUAUUCUCUGCUAAAUAGGGUAGCAUUUCCCCUCCCUUUCUUCUAGGACACGUGACCACAUCAUGCUCAAGCAUGUAGAAUUCCCUCUGAGCCUCAUUGAAUCACCGAAGGCCAAUCAACCUUAACACCAAUAGAGUACAGCACAAACCUCUGUAGAACAAUACGUCCCAGCUGCAAAGACUAUAAGCUCCAUGGAACAGAUAUCAAGCCUCGAGGCCAUAACACAAGGUGCAUGAAGGGACUCCUGACCAGGAAGAGCAAUGACCAGAACAGGAAGAUUCCUGGGUAGUGCCAUGUCUACUUGGAUCCAAUCCAAGGGAUCAUUAUUGUUUCUCAGUGUACAUUUUUUCAACACUUCCCUUGGAUAAUAGCCACUUGUUCAUGUAAUUGGGUCAUUAACCAACAGUAGUCCUCUCACAAAUAAUAAUGAAUAGCAAUGGCAAUGAAUGUACUGUUAACGGUAGUUGAAAACUUCAGAUAGAAAUUGAGUGUUGAUCAGUAGUUGACUGGGCUUGUAGUUCACAAAUCAUCUCCAAAUACUCCACUGAGGGAUAAUUUUAUGUAGCCAAGGGACUAAUAUUAAAACCUGAAUCAACUACUCGUAGCUACAGUUUACUCAAUUUUUCUCAGUUUAGAGAAAGAUUGGUCUCAAUAAGGUGAUGAGUUCUAGCCCCAUUUCUACCACUUGCAUUCUGUAUGACUUGGAAAUGUCACGCUUCCUUUUGUCUUAGAAACACAGUGUGUGUGUGCAUGACUUUCAGGAGAAACAAUCAGCAUCAGGAUCAUAUUUUGAACUUAUCUGGAGAAGUUUGAAGCAAAUUUAUUUGAGAUUUGGCAAUGUAGAGUCUUCUCUCAUGGACCCACCCACUCUCUUCCCUCCAGGGCAAUCAUGACUCACACCCAAAUUAUUUGUUCUUGGGAAUAUCUUUUUCUCUUGAUCCCUUUUAACUUCCUUUGAUCUACUUUAAUCAACUUAAUAUCCUUAACUGUUUUUUAUCUGGAGACAUUCAUUGCAUCUAUUUCUCCUGAUACAGACUUUUCCCUGUCUGCUGCUUUCAUUUCCUCACAUAUUCUGGACCAAAAUAAGAGGAUGUUGCAUGUGAGCUAAGAGGGGGAGCUAUGUUUCUCUGAGAAAUGAAUACUCUUAUCCAUGACGUUCUAAUGGGGUAUUUUUGGACUUUGAUAUUUUCUUGACUAAUCACUCACAAAUAGAUUUUCUCAUGAUUUUCUUUUUCUUUUAAGGGAAAACUGGAAUAGUCUUUUAUAUAUUAAGCUAACACUGGCCUAAUCUAUAAUAUAUCUAUAUUGAAAUGGAACUUUUUUUUAACUGAUAAAGUUAACUAGUUAACAUACUUUCGGUAUGGUUGUGCCCAAAAAAUAACGUGAUCUUAAUCGUCUAAGUACAGCAGAUGGUGAGCUUUACUCGCGAAUGAAUUUGUUCUGAUUAAAAAGAAACCAACCCUAUGUGCACGCAUCUAUCCAUUGUUUAGCAGCACAUUUUCUGCUCACAUCUGGAAAUAUUGAGAUAGUAGCUGCUCUAGAACAUUCCAGCGGCAGGGACACAGCACAGGAGGAAGACACGGGACGGAGAUACAGACUCAAUCAUGCUCUUCUAAAAUGAAAUUGAUUCAGCCACUUGAUGUUAAGAAAUUGCUUUUGUGAGUUACAAAAUUUCCUUCACUGGCCGCAGAAUGACUGACUAUGAAAGCUGUAGGUUUUUCAGGGCACACGGACUGAAGAAAGCCUUCCACUGCCUUGAGUGUGCAGAGAUUUCCUGUUUUGUUCCUUGCACCAAUCUUCUGACGAGCACUGUGAGCAACUGAGAUCUGCAGAUAUCCUUGCAGGGAGUUCUCUUUCGGGCUUACAUGGAGUUACUUAGACAUCUGGAAGGAGUAGGUGUCAAACCACAAAUAAAACUUUCCUUGACUCAUGGGGAGAAAGGUAGCGAUUUCCCCUUGACCUCAUUAACUGAAACUACCAGUGCCGCUGUUCCGGCGUCAAACUUCAUUCUUCAGAAUGCGCUUCUCCAUUUAAGGGCUUUACCUUUUGUAUUUGUUCAGUGUUUAACUCUGCAAAUUUAACCGAAGCCUUUCAGUGGCAUGUUUUCAUCUUAAACUAAUAAUAAGUAAGGGUCAUAGCUACAUAAUUUACUCUCCAUGGGACCUCACACAGGGACACUAACAGAUAAAUGCUUGAUGAUGCUGUUGAGGCUGAUUGAUACUAUUAGUUUUAUUUUCUUUCUCAUGGCAAACACAAAUGACUCCUCCAUCCAGCACUCUCUGUUCUUUUUAAUCUUUAUACUUUGACCAUAGAAGCAUGCAUUUGUCGUGUCAGGUAGGUAGUUGGAGUAAAAGUAAUUUGCCAUUGGCUCUCAAUUUAAAAUGAAUUCAUGAAAAAGGAGAGCUGCAAACUACUCAAUCUGACUGCAAAGUGGUAUUUUGUUUGUACACUUAACUCCCCAGAUAUAAGUGGAAGCAUCGUCCCUCCUGCAUUUAUUUCCCCCAUGACACUAAUUCUUUAUAGCAAAACAAAGAGUUUGUGAGUUCAUAGAGCAGGGCUUUCCUAUCUGUAGACAUCCAGUAACGUCCCUUUCCAUACUUCAUCCCAAAUUAAACAGAGUCUCCUUCCUGGUUUGCUCAUGUGCAUAUUGAAUUAGGAAACAAUCCUUCACUACCAGCCUCCCCAUCUUAAUGCAAUCCAGUCAGAGCUGAGAUAAUUAACAACACUCAUUGCUCUAACUUAGUUUUUGCAUUUUUUUCCUCCAUGCAAAUCUUCUUUCAUCUAGUUGUUCCUUAUUGGUUCAUUCCAUUAAGCAUGUGCAAAGUGGCUCCGGUAGUCAUAACACUGACCCAAGUCCCCGGGAAUAAAAAAAGAAAGAAAAACAAACAAAACUAGAAUCUCUGGGGAAGCACACAGGAGUGCAGGGGAGAAACAGAACACAUUUAUUUUAAAUACAUAGAUGCAGAAUUAAGCUAGUACAACACACCAUUAUAUAAAUAAUAUGCAUGAGUGCUAUAGGAAUGCAAAGUGAGAAAAUGUUUGCUAUGAGCCAUGUGUGAGCAAAGAGAGGUCACUUGGAGGAGAUGGCUCUUAUGCUGAAUUUCAGUGAAGAAUUAGUGAAGGAAAAAAAAAAACAGAAAAAUGUCGAAGUUUGGGAGAAUCCAAUGAGUAAAAGAACAUGGUUUGAAACAAGUAUAAUAUGAACGAUAGUAGGAAAGUUGGUCAUGCAGACAUUCGGAUAAUUAUUUCCUUCCUCUUUAUGCAGUAAGUUGCAUUUUUACAGAGCCUGAAGGCUCAACUUAAAAAAAUAUAUAUUCAGAGUCAAAUGUAUUUGCAUAUGUCUUAUUUCUUAAGAAUAGUGUUUUAUCUAAAGAUUGAUAAGAUGGUUUUUCUGACAUCUUAAAGAUUUUUUUAAUAGAAAACUUUACUGUAAGUUUGGUUUAUAAUGUGAAAUACAACUCCAUCUUCUUUGGAGUCUGAAUAUAGUCUCCCUCUCUUCAUUCACAAGUGAAUGAGAAAUGUGCUAACUUCUGCUCUUACAAAUCCCAUUUAGUGGGUGUUUCUAGUUAAACCACUUAACAACCUCAUUUAUUUUGUGGUGACCAUCAAGUACAGCAACAAUGCACACUAGUUCUUAAAUUAAGUAACCCUUAUUUGCAAAGUACAGAAGGUAUCAAGCAUGUAACCUCAUGACAUCACUCUUGUAUGAAUAGACUUGCUGCACUGCGUAAGUACACGUAUAGGACAAGUUAAAUAACUAAAUGCACUGUCGAAGCAUCGUGUUAUUGGCUAUCAAAUCAGUAAUACAGAAAGUCAGAAACCAAACUCGGAAGAAGCGAGACCUGCCUCCAAGGCAGAAAAUGGAGACAGAGAAGAACAUUUGGUCAAGAAGAGGACUGAGAAAUGCCUGUUUUUAGAGAAACAGAAGACAUGGGUCCACAAUGCACAGGAUUAGGGUCAGAAAAACAUGAGAAAGACUACCUGACUUUCUACAUUUUCAUUGACUACAUGGAAAUUAUGAUAUCACCUUUCCUUGCUUUGCAAAGGUUUUAUAAAAUUGUGGUAAUGAGCUCAUUCUGAAAAUGACCUCUCCUGAAUUCUCCACAGCACUGUGCAAAUUUUAAGUGCGUGUAGAAGAUAGAAAAAAAAAAAAGUUAUUCAAACCAGGGAGAAGAUUCAUUAAGGCUUUGAGUAUAGUUUUUCUUCUCCCUAACAGUGGAGUGUGGCAUAUUCAUAGGAAGAAACUGAGUAUAAAUUUCCUGGAGUCCUAAAAGCCAGAAUCUAAACAAAGAACUACGAAUGGAAGUGCCUUAUUUUACGAUUCUCUAUUCCUCCGCCUUCUGACUCUUGCCUUUUCAACAUUCCCAGCCCUCUGACAACUGAGAGAGAAGGGCUUCCAUGCUCAGAGACCAGGAGGGCCUUCAGGCUUCAGUGAAUGUCCCACUUUGUCCUUUUCUGACCUAUUUGAAAGUCAAGGGUUGUAUAUUCAAUUAGGACAUAACUGUUGAGCCACUAAAAUCCCACUGUACAUUCUCCACCUUCCUCUGCUUUGUAUCUUUUCAUAAUCAGCAGGGAAGAAAAGUAUGCUUCACUGCUACCAUGGGGUGCUCUCAACAAUAUUUUUUCUGAACAAAAUAAAAAUAUAUUAAUAGAUAAGCAAGAAAAUGGGGCCACCAUAAUGUUAAGUAAAGACAGUAUGAUCCCCAGUAAGAGAUUUGAGGAUAGCUCCUUGUCCCUUUCACUGUUCCAUCCUGAUAUCUCUGCCAUUUGUACCUGCUCUGUAUGGAUAUUGGCCUGGGUGUUUAAUCUGUCUCUUCAUCUUUGAAGUUUCAUCCACAAGAAGUUACUUUAUCAGUGAACUUAAAUUUCAACCUCUAAACAUGUUACAGAAUCAAAUUAAACUACAGAUAAUUUUGUUCUGAAAACUGAGUGUCAUCUGUAAUUGCAAUACUGAUAGGGGGAAAACACCCUAAUUUUAAGCCCUUUGUUAUGAAUCCAUAUCUUCUCUGUGAAAUCAGAGUGUCAGUCUUGCAUCUCGUGGAACCAAAUAAAAAAAAUGUAUCAUGCAGUUAGACAGGAUAUGACACUGACUCAAUAAGGCAUUGGGGUGUGUAAAAAAAUCACUGGUAAAGGGAAAAAGUAUGAAAGUAAUAUUGGCUGACAUUUUCUUGUUAUUAGUGUUCUUUUUAAUAUCUAGCAUUUUAUGCCACUUUAUUUUGCUUCAGAGUCUUAUGAUCAAUAACAUAUAAACAAAUCCCGGAUUAGGAACUCACAUUCUGUAUUUUAAAUGUCUGAUUUCUAAUUUGCUGAUCUACUUUCUCUGUUCUCUUCAUUUGAUUAUUUGCCUAAUUAUAUAGUUUAACCUAUAAGGCUUUUCUAAAUAAGACAUGUUAAAUACAGUUGUAUUGCUGUAAUGAAAACUUAGUUGCAAAAGGAUAGAGUUAGCUAAGUCUGUGCCAUAGUUUUGCGCAGAGUGCAGGGUCCUAUGUGUCACUUCAUUUCACAUUUGUGGUUGUUUAACAAAUAAUAAAAUUUGUUUUGCCAGUACAUUACAUUUUAGGAUUGCAAAAAUUAUCUGUUGGAAUUUUUACGUGAAAGCGAUUUUUAAUUUUUUGCUAUAUUGUGUUCAUCUUAGUUUCUUUAUUCCUAAAUACCUAACUUGGAAUCUUCAUAUUUUCUGUCCUCAAUAGUUUAACUUUUUAACACCUAAGUAUAUAGAUAAAUACAAAACUUUCAAAAGAUUUUAUCAAAAUGACUUUAUUUUGUUAUAAUAGUUGUUACAUGAAACUAUCCAUAAUUUUUCAAGAUAAAACAGUGACUUUCCUAAAUAUACAUGUAAAGUAGUCUUUACUCUUUCAGAAAUGACCCCUUUUACAGGAAUUUCUCCUUGAAAUGUAUAUAGUAAGUUUAGCAAUGUCUAAAUACUUUUAGUCCCAAAACAAGAUAUAGCCUUACAAAAUAUCUUAUGAUUUUUGUUAUGCAUAAUUUUACAAAUAUAUUUAAAAUGCUCUACAAAGCAGUGCUCUACUAUUUAUACUAUAAUCAAUAAAUG
rnacentral:lncRNA from 1 species